rnacentral:rRNA from 1 species
UACGUAGGGGGCGAGCGUUGUCCGGAAUCAUUGGGCGUAAAGCGCGUGUAGGCGGGUCGGCGCGUCGGCCGCUGAAAUCCCCCGGCUCAACCGGGGAAGCGGCGCCGAUACGGCCGGCCUGGAGGGACGUAGGGGGGGCUGGAACUUCCGGUGGAGCGGUGAAAUGCGUUGAGAUCGGAAGGAACGCCCGUGGCGAAAGCGAGCCCCUGGACGUCUACUGACGCUGAGGCGCGAAAGCUAGGGGAGCAAACGGG